GCCAGAGUGGCAUAGUGGUUUGAAUCUUGGACUAUGACUCUGGCGACCAGGGUUCGAUUCUCAGCUCGGUCA